UGAGAAUCUGCGCCUCUCUAUGGAAAUUGAGGACUGCAGUAAGAAGCAUUUCCCCUACCGAUGACAGGACCUACGUUGGACACAGGAAAACUGGAGAUAAAACCUCAGAAAAGAAAACGGAAGCCCAGAGAGACAGUUGGUGCUGUGACAUGUGGUUUUUGACCUAGGACCCAAUGUUCUUCCCCAUACAAAAACCUGCCUUGGAUCAAUGACAUUCUGGAAACCUGUUCCAGUGCACAGAUAUAUACUCAUCGGAACGUACAUCGUGUUGGUGAAGAGAGGCAGGGCCAAAGGAAGUAUUUUGGGGGACUGUGGCUACAGAUAACCCACUGAGAGAAUAUCCUACACCAUUCACACCACAACUGUGGGAAGUUCAAGUUGUUGGUACGUAUCCUCAUAUACCCACCUGCCAUCACACUAGAGCGAGCGCUCAUAUCUAAUUUUGAUAGAGAAAUAGUAAUCUGUCACGGUUGGUAACCGAUCCUUAAACCCUGCACUUAUUUUGGGUAUUAGGUAGGAAAUAAGUCUUAGAAAUAAAGUUUCUAAGAUGCCGGGGACCA
rnacentral:lncRNA from 1 species